ensembl:processed_transcript Snhg4 small nucleolar RNA host gene 4
CCUUUCCACCGCGGCCUCUGCCGAGGUUGGUGUGUCCUGCGGAGCUCCGAGCACGUGCGGGUGAGUGAGGUCCCAAGGAGCAAGGGGUCUGGAGGUUUUACUAGCCCAGGCGAGAAGCGGGGGCGAGAAGGUUUCUGCCUGGGCAGGAAAAGGAAUUGGGUUUUUUUUUUUUUAAAUUUUUUAUCUCCGGUCUUGGAGGUCAUCUUAAAGGGAAUAGCCCGAAGAGUCACCGCCAGUGAGGUACAGUACCCCUAUCCAGCUAGGAAGUCACCUGGAAUCUGGCUCCUUUAAGCGUUUCCGGAGCCCCAGACAAGGACCGAGAAAGGUUUCAGUGGAACACGUGUCCGGGGAGAACCAGAUCUGCUUCAGCCCACGCCCUGAAGGGGCUUUUAGACCUAAACCAUGAGUCCUGUAUUCCUUUUCCUGUUCCAUUAAAUUGGUCAGAAUUGGUUAGGGGUGAAGUUUGGACUUGGAUAACUUGCCCUUAGAUAUGUUAAAAUGAUAUGCAAACCUCAAGCACAAGCUCCCUCACACUACAUCUACAUUCAAUUACUAUUCGAAGUGUUAACUUUUAUUGUCUUUAAAAAUGUCCCGUAUUUAAGCCUGUUGUCUAGAUUUAGUCAGCCCCCACCCCCCAUCUUUACUAAAGUGUCAUUUUUAAAAGUGGUUCUCUUAAGUGCAGGAUGGCUGGUUCUGGAGGCAGUCUUACUGUUUUGGCUUCCUACAAGUUAAGAUUACAGGAAUCAGCCACCAGAGCAGUGCACUGUGGUCCAAUCUACCUGAUGUACAGGGGUAAUGGCUAAUGCCGUUCUACAAAUAAGAACUCCAGGGAGUGGACUUAGCUAGUGGAAUGGUUAUUUGGGGGUGGAGCUCCCAAAGUCACACUGUUUCUCUACUCUUGUUUCUUUGACUCAGCCCAACAAAGUGAAGGGGGUUUGAGGGCUGGAGAUGGUUUUUUAACUUAAUUGCACAGGUGUCGACAGGCUGACUCUAAUCUGGGAUGUUUUGAUUUCAUAGUGGCCAGCUGCCAGUUUGAGGCGAUGUCUGCCCUGGUAAGUACAGUUCGGCUAGUUCCGGUUUGCCCCAGCUGUAGGCAGCUACCUAGGUUUCCUUGUACCUAGGCAAGUGUUACACUGCUGGGAGAACAGCAGCCAAUAGCUGGUUGGCAUUCUGGGCCUGGUUCAUGCCACCUCUGUUGUUAACUAUACCAGGAUGUCAGCAUAGUUGCUUACCCAGGAAGAGAAGCGCAAGCUCUGCAGGAAGAAACCUGAAGUCCAGAUCUUCCGACAUGGAGGUUACUUAAAUCACAACUUGGAAAUGGAACUGAGUAAAAGCCACUGAGGGAAAUAAAUAGG